rnacentral:rRNA from 1 species
UACGUAGGGUGCAAGCGUUAAUCGGAAUUACUGGGCGUAAAGCGUGCGCAGGCGGUUGUGCAAGACAGAUGUGAAAUCCCCGGGCUUAACCUGGGAACUGCAUUUGUGACUGCACGGCUAGAGUUUGGCAGAGGGGGGUAGAAUUCCACGUGUAGCAGUGAAAUGCGUAGAUAUGUGGAGGAAUACCGAUGGCGAAGGCAGCCCCCCUGGGUCAAGACUGACGCUCAUGCACGAAAGCGUGGGGAGCAAACAGG